UUUAUUCACCAUACUCUCAAU
rnacentral:miRNA from 1 species